GUUGUUAUUAUUUAAGGGAAUCAACAUUUAAAUAAAAUGUUCUAUAUUUUGCAGAAUAUACUCUGUAUCUGCUUAUCUGGUAGUGUACGUGUAGAAUCCUGUUUAGCUUUUAUACACGGUGGAGAAAGAGCGCCUAGCGUGUUUGGCAGUGUUCUGUAGAGCGGUCUUUAAACUGCCUUCUACAGAACCUGCAUGCAACAACUUUAUCUGCGUAGCUUGUUCCCAGUGAAUAGUUGUUUCCCACAAAAAAAAUGAAUUUUGUUGUACUUGUGGUUGUUGCUAUUUGGUACUUUAAGCCUCUGGGUAAUUGCAACUUGACGUUCGAUGAUAUUGUCGUUUCACAGUUUGAAUAAGUUUUGCUGUUUAUUGUUCGUUUCCGUCUGCUGAUGACAAAAUUGUCGGCUGUAGAGGCCGCACCAGAACCCUCAACCACCUUGUAAAUCAGGACUUAAACGGAUCUGUGGUUCUUUCCUUCUAGCGUCUCCAUUCAAGCUGGGUCUUAUCAUUAGUAUGGAUCCUGUUUUCUCGACUCCUGUAUUUCUUGAUGAAUCGUAAUCCUCUGUUUUUGGAUUCGUUCUAGUUGUCAAUAUUCCCUUUGCAUAUAUGGGUUCCAGAUUCGUUGCGCUAUAUCUCCAUGAUGAUCUUACAAAGGGAAUAUUAUGCUACGUUACUACAUGCUUCUGUACGUUCUCAAGUUCCUCCGAAGAAAGCCAAGCGUGUCUACUCGUUGCCUUUCUUGCUGAUGUUAUUAUGUGGAAAGCUCCAAUUUCAGAUCGUUGAGAUUUGGACAUCUAAGUAGGGUCUUCAACUUGUACUUCUUGUAGAAUGUGUUUUAUUAAACGUUGUAGAAAUGUCUGUUUUUUUAUCUUAUGGAUAGAACAUAGCUCUUUUUGCGUUGAAAACGCAUUCCCAAUUUGUCGGCCAGAUUUCUAGUUGUUCCAAAUCUGUUUGUAAGCUUUUGUGGUCUUGGCUAUUUUUAAAUUGUUCUGUAUAGUCAGGCACUCGUCAGCAAAAGUUUUACGAUGAUGUUACCACUGUAUGGUAGUCAUUGAUCUGUGGCACCAGAAAUAGGGAUUGGUCCUAAGACUGUGCCUAGCGUGGACCCAGAAUCAACUGUUGUUCGCCAGAUGAUUCGCCCUCAACGAUCGGUCUCAUUGAUCUUGCAAUUAGGAAGUUCUUAAGCCCAUUUGUGUGUAUUCCUUUAAUUCCAUACUGAUCUAAAUUCUAUGUAAUAAUUUUUGUGUUUGUACUGUGUCGAAAAUUUGAAAAAUGUAAUAUGCCUACGUCAUUUUGAAUGUCCCUGUAGUGUUCUUGUAAGAAGUCGUGAUGUAGUUUAGCAGUUGGGUUUCACAUGAUAUCCUGACCUGAAGCCGUGUUAGUUGGUUAGGAUUUUGUUCUUUCAGAUGUUUAAGAAUAUGCCGUAGCAUUACGAUAUCUUCUACGAAUUUUGCUGAUGGACAGAUGUUAGGAACAGGGUCUGUGUUUUCUAGCCAGGUGUUGUACUCCUUUUUGAAAGAUACUGGAUAUGUUUGCGUCUCUCCAUCUUUUGGUAGUUCACCCUGUGUCUAGCGAGAUAUUGCAAAAAUGAUUUGUAGUGAUGGGUGCUAGUUGUUCAGCACAUUCCUUUGAAUUCGUUUGGUAUGUUGUCUGGUCGAUGCUUUAUUUUAGGUUUGUGUUUUAAGUAAUUAUUUCCAGUCCCUUUUGGUAGAUCUGAUGUUAUUGUAAAUACGACUUAAAUUGUCUAAGUAGGAGUUCGAAUUCCCUUACUGUCACUGACAAAGGAGUUGCUUUGUUAAUUUGUGCUAUUCCUUACCUGAGUCCUGGCGUUUGGAUUUAAUGUCAUUUUUCAAAAACGUCCUUCGUGUUAUUUUGUUUAGUCCCCAAAAUGUUUUGGUUGACAUAUUCACCUAUCAUGCUUUCCUCAGGUUUCUGCAUCCUUUUUGGAAAAGACCUAUAAUUUGACCAUUUGUUUGUUGUUUUUCUGCUUGUGUAUAGCCUCUGUUUCUUCUUUAGCAUUUUCCUCUGUUUUGUUGAUCCAUGGAUUAUAUUUCUUUGUUGGAUAUUAUUCUUUGUUCGAAAUAUUUAUUCAUGUUUUUUGGAAGCUGACUUUUGAAGUGUCCCAAAGUUGAUGUACCUCAAGUCCUUGCUGAUGUUUUCUUUGACCUCGUCUCAGCGUGUGUUUAAGGUAUGUUGUGAUUUUGGUUCCCAUUUCGCCUUCUUGUAGAUGUUACAUUUCUUGGUAAGCUUUUUUAUGUGUACUUUGUUUCAGUGUUCGUGAUAUGAAUGUCAUGGUCUGAUAUACCUAGUAUGUUAUUUGAGGAUUUAACUCGAGUUAUUUUUCAUUUAUUUAUCAUUCAAGAACCGAGAUAUGUUAAUAUUAUGACAUGUAUGAAGGGAAAUGAUUUUGGUUCGCUUUUGUGGACGUUUCGUCCUCGAUGGUAUCACCAGCCCAGUAGUGGAUAUCAAUAAUGUGCUCAUUUUUAUAAAUUUCCUGUUAACAAAACUUUAUAUUUUUCGAAAAACUAAGGAUUUUCUAUUCCCCGGCAUAGAUAUAAUAAUAACUGGCGAUAAAUAAUGUAGUGUUUAUACUGUUAUCUCAAUGUUUGAUGAAUUUUAUGAAUAACUACAUUAUAUAGCUCUUGGUAAGACAUUACAUAUCAAAACUUUAUAUACUUUUUAAUGUGAGAGUUUUGUCGUAAGUUAAUGUAGUGUGGAAGAACACACUUUUGGUAAAUGAUACACUAUUGCUCCUUUGUAGAAUUAUGAUCUACGAUUCCAAUGUCAAGAAGAUAACCUCUGUAACUAAGCGAAUAAAACGUGGACAGAGGGAAUCCUACCAACCUUUUGUUUAUUUUAUAAGUUUUGAAAAUAACGGGUGAUCACAGAAUCGAAUUAUUGAAAGCUCACUAUUUUCAAUUAUAACGGUUCACCUUCCGGCAAAAAAACUUGACCUAGUUAUUGAUUAAAAUGAAAAUAACAGGAAAGGAGAAAUCAUUAUAUAAAUAUUUGUCCUCUAAUCUGGACUAAGUAUAUUUGAAAUUUUUCGAUUCUGGUAGAUUUUGUUCUGAAUAAUAUUAUACUUGUAUUAUAUUAAAGUUAUACAGGGAAGCUUUGUUGUGUUUCCAGGCUAUUUAGAAACUCUAAAUAUAACAUUUGUAAAAAUACUGAAAACGUUUUUAAGUUUAUUUCCCUAAUAACACAAGUCAAAAAAAAUGUAUGCCCUUAUGACAAUUAUUUACAGCAAACCUUGGAUGUAGAUAAAAAAUAAAUUAAUUGAGUAGAAGUCUACAUAAUUGAGAAAAGAAACGGGGAGUGUGUCAACACUAUAACCCGUUCAAACAGCACAAGG
rnacentral:lncRNA from 1 species